ensembl:lncRNA
GUCCGCUCCAUCUGAAACAUCCACUAGAGAGACAGUGGCCACAAGAGCUACUCACUCUGCAGUUGUAUCAACAUCUUCCAGGGAGAUAACGACAAGUGUCUCUCUCUCAACACUACCUGAAACUUUCCCCAGUGAGACAACCGUAACAACGACUUCUCUUCCCCCUACUUUUAGUGAAUAUACAAGCAGUGAGACUCCCACGGCAACCUCUCUUCCAGUCCUGAGCACUGAAUCCAUAUCCAUGGGCAGCACUUCCAGCCCAACCUCCACUGCCAGAGCCAGCACCCUCUCAGAGUCUAUUCCGUCAUCCAGUGAUUCGAGCCUGACCUCCACGGCCGAGACCCACACCGUCUCCGAGUCUGUUCCCUCGUCCAGUGCUUCAAGCCCAUCCUCCACGGCUGAGUCCAGCAUCAUCUCUGAGUCCGUCACCAAGCCCAGUGCUUCCAGGCUGACCUCCACUGCUGAAGCUAGUUCCGUCUCUCAGCCCAUCUCGACACCCAGCGCUUCCAGCCCAAGCUCUGUGACCAAGGGCAGCACCAUCUCUGAGCCUGUCUCCAAGCCCAGCACUUCGAGCCUGACCUACACGGCCGAAACCCACACUGUAUCCGAGUCUGUCUCCAAGUCCAGUGCUUCGAACCUGACUUCCACAGCCGCAGCCAGCAGUGUCUCUGAGUCCGUCUUCACACCCAGCAGUUACAGCCCAAGCUCUGCAACUGAGGCCAGCGCCAUGUCUGAGUCCGUCUCCACGUACAGACCUGCCAGCCCAACCUCCACUGCCAGAGCCAGCACACUCUCCGAGUCUGUUCCCUCGUCCAGUGCUUCAAGCCUGACCUCCACGGCCGAGACCCACACUGUAUUUGAGUCUGUUCCCUCGUCCAGUGCUUCAAGCCUGACCUCCACGGCCGAGACCCACACCAUCUCCGAGUCUGUUCCCUCGUCCAGUGCUUCAAGCCCGACCUCCGCAUCCGAGGCCAGUACCAUCUCCGAGUCUGUUCCCUCGUCCAGUGCUUCAAGCCUGACCUCCACGGCCGAGACCCACACCAUCUCCGAGUCUGUUCCCUCGUCCAGUGCUUCAACCCUGACCUCCACGGCCGAGACCCACACCAUCUCCGAGUCUGUUCCUUCGUCCAGUGCUUCAAGCCUGACCUCCACGGCUGAGACCCACACCGUCUCUGAGUCUGUUCCCUCGUCCAGUGCUUCAAGCCCGACAACCGCAGCCGAGGCCAGCAGUGUCUCUGAGCCCGUCUCCACACCCAGUGGUUACAGCCCGAGCUCUGCUACCGAGGCCAGAACGAUGUACNUGUCCAGUGCUUCAAACGCAUCCUCCACGGCUGAGUCCAGCACCAUCUCUGAGCCCGUCUCCAAGCCCAGCACUUCCAGCCUGACCUCCAUGGCCGAGACCAACACCGUGUUCAAGUCUGUUCCCUUGUCCAGCGCUUGGAGCCCGACCUCCAGGGCCGAGACCCACACUAUCUCUGAGUCUGUUCUCUUGUCCAGUGCUUCAAGCCCGACUUCCACAGCCGAUGCCAGCAGUGUCUCUGAGUCCGUCUCCACACUCAGCGGUUACAGCCCGAGCUCUGCGACCAAGGCCAGCACCAUUUCCGAGUCCAUCUCCACGCACAGCCCUGCCAGCUCGACCUCCACGGCCGAGGCCACCACCAUCACAGAGCCAGCGGUCUCUGAAUUCACCACCAGUGAGAAAACCGUGACAUUGGUUCCUCCCCAUCCAACUGGGACUGAAUUCACAAGUACGGAGACCACCAUGGCAAACACUCCUUCUCUUUCAGUGACAGAGACAUCCACACCCAAUGCCAUAACAUCUUCUGUGCACACCACAAUGGAAACAAAGAACAAUGAGACAACCUCAGCCACAUCCUCUCCACCGCCAACGCUGACCAGCUCUUCCACCCACAGCUCCUUCUUGACUUCUCUCUCUCACACAACCCUUUCCGAAACCA